UGGGGAAUUUUGGACAAUGGGGGCAACCCUGAUCCAGCCAUGCCGCGUGAGUGAAGAAGGCCUUCGGGUUGUAAAGCUCUUUCAGCCGGGAAGAAAACGCAUUGGUUAAUACCUGAUGUGGAUGACGGUACCGGAAUAAGAAGCACCGGCUAACUACGUGCCAGCAGCCGCGGUAAUACGUAGGGUGCGAGCGUUAAUCGGAAUUACUGGGCGUAAAGCGUGCGCAGGCGGUUUUGUAAGAUAGGCGUGAAAUCCCCGGGCUUAACCUGGGAACUGCGUUUAUGACUGCAAAGCUAGAGUACGGCAGAGGGGGGUGGAAUUCCACGUGUAGCAGUGAAAUGCGUAGAGAUGUGGAGGAACACCAAUGGCGAAGGCAGCCCCCUGGGUCGAUACUGACGCUCAUGCACGAAAGCGUGGGUAGCAAACA
rnacentral:rRNA from 1 species